CUUGAUGGUAAUGUGUGACACAAAAAUUAGCUGGCUGGAUUAAAACUGGUGAGCUGCAGAGCAUGAGGUUCUUCACUUCUUGGGUCUUCGCCCACCAUACACUUGGAGUUUAAGCAGCAGCAGUUCUGGAAGAUUUUGUGAUAAAAUGAGACAGAAGAGUAUUUGCCACAGUCAUCAAAGAGCAUUGCAUGUUAGUGCUGCUGAGUGUACUAUGUCCUUGUUUCCAGAGGUGGAUAACUCACUGAAGGGCUCUGACAAUCCCAGGUUUGCCCCACUCUGACCCCUGCCCAAGUCAGGGCCCUGUUUCCAUCAGGAAGAGCCCAACUGUAUCUGGAAUUCAUACAACAGGUACCCAUCUGCCAAACAGCUGUUUGAGGCUGAAAAAACCUGGGAGAAAGCCAGGCAGUUUCUGUCAGAUGUUAGUGUUGCAGUUUUAAGAAUUAGCUAAAAAAAUCUUUGGGCAGCUCUGCGACUACACUCAGAAGUUUUUGCUCUAAGCUGCUGUAACUGAUAA